rnacentral:rRNA from 1 species
UACGUAGGGUGCAAGCGUUAAUCGGAAUUACUGGGCGUAAAGCGUGCGCAGGCGGUUUUGGAAGUCUGACGUGAAAUCCCCGGGCUCAACCUGGGAAUUGCGUUGGAGACUGCAAGGCUGGAGUCUGGCAGAGGGGGGUAGAAUUCCACGUGUAGCAGUGAAAUGCGUAGAGAUGUGGAGGAACACCGAUGGCGAAGGCAGCCUCCUGGGCCAGCACUGACGCUCAUGCACGAAAGCGUGGGGAGCAAACAGG